rnacentral:lncRNA from 1 species
UUCAGCCAGGAGAUGUCUUUCUUUCCUGGAAAAUGGCACAACCUGAUAACAGGUUAAUCUCCUUGAUUGGAAACCUUUGGGAUUCACUUCCUAGAGAGCUCCCAGUGGCAAUCAUUAGAAAAGUAAAAACUACACCUAAAUCUUCUGAAAGUCUACAUGAAGGAGGAUCAUGCCCUAAAAUUUGCACGUCAGACUGCUGUAUAAAAGAGUGAACAAGCUGGGAUCAAGUUUUAAAUCUCCAGUAUCUGUGACAAACCCAAAUAUUUGACUUCCAUUCCUUGUUUCCACUGCAGAGGUAUUCCUAAAACCUUUAUAAUAAUAGCAUUAUGGUCACAUCAAAUAAUCUUUAAACUUU